rnacentral:misc_RNA from 1 species
GAUGAAGAACGUAGCGAAAUGCGAUAAGUAAUGUGAAUUGCAGAAUUCAGUGAAUCAUCGAAUCUUUGAACGCACAUUGCGCCCGCCAGUAUUCUGGCGGGCAUGCCUGUCCGAGCGUCAUUUCAACCCUCGAACCCCUCCGGGGGGUCGGCGUUGGGGAUCGGCCCUGCCUCUUGGCGGUGGCCGUCUCCGAAAUACAGUGGCGGUCUCGCCGCAGCCUCUCCUGCGCAGUAGUUUGCACACUCGCAUCGGGAGCGCGGCGCGUCCACAGCCGUUAAACACCCAACUUCUGAAAUGUUGACCUCGGAUCAGGUAGGAAUAGCCGCUGAACUUAAGCAUAUCAAUAAGCGGAGGA